rnacentral:rRNA from 1 species
GACAGAGGGUGCAAACGUUGUUCGGAAUUACUGGGCGUAAAGCGCGUGUAGGCGGUUUCCUAAGUCAGGUGUGAAAGCCCCGGGCUCAACCCGGGAAGUGCACUUGAAACUGGGAGGCUAGAGUAUCGGAGAGGUUGGUGGAAUUCUCGGUGUAGAGGUGAAAUUCGUAGAUAUCAAGUGGAACACCAGUGGCGAAGGCGAGUCUCUGGACAUUUCCUGACGCUGAGGCACGAAAGCCAGGGGAGCAAACGGG